UUGUGGGAAUUGGAAACUUUUGAAAUUCAAAUUGAAUCACUUUUAUCUCUCUCUCUCUCUCUCUCCAUAUUUGUUUUCAAAUUCUGGAUCUGUCUCAAAAUUAUUUUCCUCUUCCUGCUCCGGAAACUCAUCUCACCUUCUUUCUCUGCUAAUGGUGGCGCUAGAUCAUCAACGACCGUGCAUACCUUCCUUGCACCGCCACCGCUCCCUCCCACGCCCAGCCGCCGCCGGCUGUAGGCCCCCUCUCCCUCUCUCACUCCCAGCCGCUCUCUUGCUCUCUCUCUCCCUCUGCAGAUCUUCAAUCGCGCCCAAAUCUCCAGAUCUCGCGCGUCCUCUCCCUCGAAGCCACACACAACAACUUUCAAACCCCGGUGCUUCCGAAAAAUCCAUCGGGUAUUGGUAUUAAGGAAAGGUAUCACCUUGUGCUGAGACAGAAGCUUUCAGGGUUCUUUGUGAAUUUUUUUAGAGCUUUUGAUUUCUAUCUGGGGCCUGGAGUUUGGAGAGCUUGAUAGGUGAAGAUGCUAACAUAUGGAGAAUCCAGAAUUCACUUGAAGAGGGUAUUGCAAGGCUUUUCCAUCGGAUCGAAAUGCACAGAUUGAAAGCAUUUUGACAGAGCAUUGCAGAUCGAUGAACUCUUACAUGUGAUAUGGACGGAUCUUUAGCCUUUUCAUGGAUCACGAACAUGGAACUUUGAGCUCCAUCAGAUAUGGUCGGUUCAUGCUUCCUAAAUCUGGGUUUUGUUGAAAUGAGGGCCUGAAGAUCUGUAUAUCUCAAGACUGAGAGAUUAAAGAUGAUAUGUCUAAAGGAGGAGAAAAAACCUGAAGAGAGGAAAGCUCAUGCUCUGUUUGAGGUGAGUUUCUGUUUGAUCACUGGAGCAUCCUUAUUUUGAUUAUCUUCAAUGGUCUAAGUGUUGCUUAAAACUAGCUAUAAGAAUCGUGCAAUUUCAUGAAGCUACUGUCUCCAUUAGAUUUACUGUCAUUGGUUCUCAGGAGGACAAGUACAAGUGCUUACAAAGGACAAGUGCUUAAGGAGGACAAAAAUCUGACGUGUCCUUAGCUGAGCACCCCUCCACGUGUCAUAUUCUCACCCCUCCACGUGUCAUAUUCUCAGACGGUUUUAUAUGGAAGUCCUUUUAGUCUUCACUUUAGCAGAACCCGUUUGUUGAUGCUUUCCCAUUUCGUUGGCCACAGAUUUGCUCAAUGUCAAUUACGGGUCUCGCACAAAUCAAAUUUCUUGGCGCUAUAGAUCUCCAGUUGUAUAAAUUCAGUCCAAGCCAAGCGUAUCAACCACACUCAUUCACAAACAAAGCAAUUCACAAAUCGACUCCCACCACCACCGAAACCCCCAACCAUCUCGCCGUCGCCAGAAAAAGCGACUUGCGAUUCGAGAACCCCAUCCUCAACUCGCUCGACUCCAAAUUGAACGGUCUCUUGGCUGAAGCCUCUUCCGAAGAAAAUCCGGCCAGUCCACGGUUCAUUUUUUUUCACCAGAGACCUUCACACUCAAUUGUGCUUUUACGAUGAGACUAUUGUUCAAAUGAUCGAAAAGAAAGGGAGAUUGUGAAAGAUGAAUUCUAGCAAGGAAGUGGCUUACUGAUUUGGCUUAUGGUAUGUCUGUUGUUUGAUUAUCUGCUAUGGACAAAUUCUAAUGCCAUCCUCUCCACCCUGGCUGCCUUUAUUUUGGAUUUGCUGAAAAUUGUUUGUUUUCUCUGCACUGUCAUUUCCUAAAAUCUCUCGCUAUUCCCCUAAUAGGGUCCCUAUCCUCUUCAAUGUCUUUUUACCUCGAUUGGAUUUCAAAUUUUGGGAAAAAAAAAUACCAAUUGGAUUUCUGAGAAUGUGAUCAUUGAACAUUUCCUUUCUUGGUGGAAUUUUAGUAUUAUCCAUCUUUUCUCAUUCUGCAUAUGGAAUUGGUUUUCCUUAGUAUUUAGAUGUGUUUAUACUAUGAUUUAAUAUUUUACCCAAUUAACACUUUAUUUUAUUGGCACUGAUGGCUAAGAAUGAAGAAGAAGAAUUCAACACUAGACCACUAUCUGUUCUGAUGAUGAGUAUUAAAAAUGAUACUCAUGUAUGUUUUUUUAACAUUAGAUAGUAACAUGGAUUCUGAGGCAGCCCCUAGAAGGCAUUUUAUGUCUGAGGUUUUAACCAGACACUUUAACUUCAGUAGCAAGAAGCUUCUGGGUCGUGGCAUGGCUUUUCAUAGGCACCGCAACAUGGUUCAGGAUCAAAAUUUUAAAAAUAGUUUAUUCGAUGAAAACUAAAUAGUGAAGAAGCAAGAAUCAAAUAAUCAUCCAGCCAACUGCUGAACCUGAAAGUACAAUUUUUCGAAAUCAGAUUGGAAAUGUCCUUUGCAGUAUGCAGGUGGGAAUCUUUAUCUGAAUUUGCAGGUGCUGUUUUAUGAUGUUCAUAUGGAAAUUUAGGCUGUUAAAUGCUCAAAUCCUGAGUUACCAUGCAUUUGUAAGAAGAGAUUCAUGUGUGUUGGCCGAUACUGUUAGGAUAAUGAAGAUGAGUUGAGGUAGGUAGUUGGAAUUAGCAAGGUGGGUUAGUUAGUUUUAGAAGAGAUUAGUUAGUUGUAGCUAAAUAGAGAAAAUUAGGAUGGAGAGUCAUUCUCUCUGAUUUUUAAAAUGUGUGAAAGGAGAAGUCCAUUAUUGAAGCCCCAUGGAUGAGAGCUAUCUAUCCUGUUUUUAAUCAGUCAAUAAACAUGCUAAUUGCUUUUCAAUAUUUUUUAAUAACUUCCCUUUUUUCAUCUUUUAUGUUGAAGCUACAAGAGGAAGAUACACUUACUGCCUCCUUACACCAUUUUUUCCACUUAUUUCAGGAACAACUUUUUGAAUGAUUUGCCUUCCUUGGA